GCCAAUGUGGUGUAGUGGUUUGAACAUUGGACUAUCAUUCUGGAUACCAGGGUUCAAAUCCCCACAUUCUCA